UACAGAGGUCUCAAGCGUUGUUCGGAUUCAUUGGACGUAAAGGGUGUGUAGGUGGCGCGCUAAGUCGGGUGUGAAAUUUCGGAGCUUAACUCCGAAACUGCAUUCGAUACUGGCGCGCUUGAGGACUGGAGAGGAGACUGGAAUUCAUGGUGUAGCAGUGAAAUGCGUAGAGAUCAUGAGGAAGACCAGUGGCGAAGGCGGGUCUCUGGACAGUUCCUGACACUGAGACACGAAGGCCAGGGGAGCAAACGGG
rnacentral:rRNA from 1 species